rnacentral:rRNA from 1 species
UACGAAGGGGGCUAGCGUUGUUCGGAAUUACUGGGCGUAAAGCGUGCGCAGGCGGCUUCUCAAGUCAGGGGUGAAAGCCCAGAGCUCAACUCUGGAAUUGCCUUUGAUACUGAGGAUCUUGAGUAUGGGAGAGGUGAGUGGAACUGCGAGUGUAGAGGUGAAAUUCGUAGAUAUUCGCAAGAACACCAGUGGCGAAGGCGGCUCACUGGCCCAUUACUGACGCUGAGGCACGAAAAGCGUGGGGGAGCAAACAGG